rnacentral:ncRNA from 1 species
CCCGAUAAAGCCAAAUCCCGAGUAAUCGGGAGACGGAAAGCUCAGGGGUCUUUAAUAAGAAGAUGGCCGAGCUGCCGAAG